rnacentral:rRNA from 1 species
GACGAACGCUGGCGGCGUGCCUAAUACAUGCAAGUUGAGCGCUGAAGGUUGGUACUUGUACCGACUGGAUGAGCAGCGAACGGGUGAGUAACGCGUGGGGAAUCUGCCUUUGAGCGGGGGACAACAUUUGGAAACGAAUGCUAAUACCGCAUAAAAACUUUAAACACAAGUUUUAAGUUUGAAAGAUGCAAUUGCAUCACUCAAAGAUGAUCCCGCGUUGUAUUAGCUAGUUGGUGAGGUAAAGGCUCACCAAGGCGAUGAUACAUAGCCGACCUGAGAGGGUGAUCGGCCACAUUGGGACUGAGACACGGCCCAAACUCCUACGGGAGGCAGCAGUAGGGAAUCUUCGGCAAUGGACGAAAGUCUGACCGAGCAACGCCGCGUGAGUGAAGAAGGUUUUCGGAUCGUAAAACUCUGUUGGUAGAGAAGAACGUUGGUGAGAGUGGAAAGCUCAUCAAGUGACGGUAACUACCCAGAAAGGGACGGCUAACUACGU